rnacentral:rRNA from 1 species
UACGUAGGUGGCGAGCGUUAUCCGGAAUUAUUGGGCGUAAAGAGCGCGCAGGUGGUUGAUUAAGUCUGAUGUGAAAGCCCACGGCUUAACCGUGGAGGGUCAUUGGAAACUGGUCGACUUGAGUGCAGAAGAGGGAAGUGGAAUUCCAUGUGUAGCGGUGAAAUGCGUAGAGAUAUGGAGGAACACCGGUGGCGAAAGCGGCUUUCUGGCGCAUAACUGACGCUGAGGCUCGAAAGCGUGGGGAGCGAACGGGAUUAGAUACCCGU